rnacentral:rRNA from 1 species
UACGUAGGGUGCAAGCGUUGUCCGGAAUUAUUGGGCGUAAAGAGCUCGUAGGCGGUUUGUCGCGUCUGCUGUGAAAACCUAGGGCUUAACCCUGGGCCUGCAGUGGGUACGGGCAGACUAGAGUGCGGUAGGGGAGACUGGAAUUCCUGGUGUAGCGGUGAAAUGCGCAGAUAUCGGGAGGAACACCAGUGGCGAAGGCGGCUAUCUGGGCUGUAACUGACGCUGAGGCGCGAAGGCUAGGGUAGCAAACAGG